rnacentral:rRNA from 1 species
GAUGAACGCUGGCGGCGUGCCUAAUACAUGCAAGUCGAGCGAACGGACGAGAAGCUUGCUUCUCUGAUGUUAGCGGCGGACGGGUGAGUAACACGUGGAUAACCUACCUAUAAGACUGGGAUAACUUCGGGAAACCGGAUCUAAUACCGGAUGAUAUUUUGAACCGCAUGGUUCAAAAGUGAAAGACGGUCUUGCUGUCACUUAUAGAUGGAUCCGCGCUGCAUUAGCUAGUUGGUAAGGUAACGGCUUACCAAGGCAACGAUGCAUAGCCGACCUGAGAGGGUGAUCAGCCACACUGGAACUGAGACACGGUCCAGACUCCUACGGGAGGCAGCAGUAGGGAAUCGUCCGCAAUGGGCGAAAGCCUGACGGAGCAGCGCCGCGUGAGUGAUGAAGGUCUUCGGAUCGUAAAACUCUGUUAUUAGGGAAGAACAUAUGUGUAAGUAACUGUGCACAUCUUGACGGUACCUAAUCAGAAAGCCACGGCUAACUACGUG